rnacentral:RNase_P_RNA from 1 species
GGAGCAGGCCAGGUGAUCGCCGGUUGCGCCAGGCCGCAGCCGGAGGAAAGUCCGGGCUCCACAGGGCAGGGCGCUGGGUAACGCCCAGGGGGGGUGACCCCACGGAAAGUGCCACAGAGACCAGACCGCCGUGGUUCGGCCACGGUAAGGGUGAAAGGGUGAGGUAAGAGCUCACCAGUGCCGGCGGCGACGUCGGCAGCUAGGAAAACCCCGCCCGGAGCAAGGCCAAAUAGGGGAGCGCCAAGGGUGGCCCGCCCAAGCUCCCGGGUAGGCCGCGUGAGGUCCCGGGUAACCGGGAUCCUAGAGGAAUGAUCACCACCGGCUCAAGGCCGGCACAGAACCCGGCUUAUGGCCUGCUCCCUUU